rnacentral:rRNA from 1 species
UGAACGCUAGCGGCAUGCCUAACACAUGCAAGUCGAGGGGUAAUGUCAGCUUGCUGAAUACACGACCGGCGCACGGGUGAGUAACACGUUUGCAACCUACCUCUAACUGGAGGAUAGCCCGAAGAAAUUCGGAUUAAUAUUCCAUAAAGUCAAUUUAAGGCAUCUUUUAUUGAUUAAAGCUCCGGCGGUUAGAGAUGGGCAUGCGUGUCAUUAGCUAGUUGGUGAGGUAACGGCUCACCAAGGCCACGAUGACUAGGGGGUCUGAGAGGAUGAUCCCCCACACUGGUACUGAGACACGGACCAGACUCCUACGGGGGGCAGCAGUGAGGAAUAUUGGGCAAUGGACGCAAGUCUGACCCAGCCAUGCCGCGUGCAGGAUGACUGCCCUAUGGGUUGUAAACUGCUUUUGUUUGGGAAGAAACCCCCGAUCGUGAUCGGGGCUGACGGUACCAUACGAAUAAGCAUCGGCUAACUCCGUGCCAGCAGCCGCGGUAAUACGGAGGAUGCAAGCGUUAUCCGGAUUCAUUGGGUUUAAAGGGUGCGCAGGCGGAAUAUUAAGUCAGUGGUGAAAUCCUGCAGCUUAACUGUAGAACUGCCAUUGAUACUGAUAUUCUUGAAUAUAGUUGAGGUAGGCGGAAUGUGUAAUGUAGCGGUGAAAUGCUUAGAUAUUACACAGAACACCAAUUGCGAAGGCAGCUCACUAAACUAAUAUUGACGCUGAGGCACGAAAGCGUGGGUAACAAACAGGAUUAGAUACCCUGGUAGUCCACGCUGUAAACUAUGAUCACUCGCUGUUGGCAAUACAUCGUCAGCGGCUGAGCGAAAGCAUUAAGUGAUCCACCUGGGGAGUACGGUCGCAAGAUUGAAACUCAAAGGAAUUGACGGGGGCCCGCACAAGCGGAGGAACAUGUGGUUUAAUUCGAUGAUACGCGAGGAACCUUACCUGGGCUUAAAUGCAGAGCGACGUCCGCCGAAAGGUGGAUUCCUUCGGGCGAUCUGCAAGGUGCUGCAUGGUUGUCGUCAGCUCGUGCUGUGAGGUGUCGGGUUAAGUCCCAUAACGAGCGCAACCCUUAUCGUUAGUUGCCAGCGGGUAAUGCCGGGGACUCUAACGAAACUGCCGGUGUAAACCGUGAGGAAGGUGGGGAUGACGUCAAAUCAGCACGGCCCUUAUGUCCAGGGCUACACACGUGUUACAAUGGUCGGUACAGAGGGCAGCUACCACGCGAGUGGAUGCUAAUCUCGAAAACCGGUCUCAGUUCGGAUUGAAGUCUGCAACUCGACUUCAUGAAGCUGGAUUCGCUAGUAAUCGCGCAUCAGCCAUGGCGCGGUGAAUACGUUCCCGGGCCUGUACACACCGCCCGUCAAGCCAUGGAAGCUUGGGGUACC